UACGUAGGGGGCAAGCGUUGUCCGGAAUCAUUGGGCGUAAAGAGCGCGUAGGCGGCCAGAUAAGUCCGGUGUGAAAGUCCCAGGCUCAACCUGGGAAUGCCGUCGGAAACUGUCUGGCUAGAGUCCGGAAGGGGCCAGUGGAAUUCCCGGUGUAGCGGUGAAAUGCGCAGAUAUCGGGAGGAACACCAAUGGCGAAGGCAGCUGGCUGGGACGGUACUGACGCUGAGGCGCGAAAGCGUGGGGAGCGAACAGGAUUAGAUACCCUGGUAGUCCACGCUGUAAACGAUGGGCACUAGGUGUGGGAGGUGUCGACUCCUCCCGUGCCGCAGCUAACGCAUUAAGUGCCCCGCCUGGGGAGUACGGCCGCAAGGCUAAA
rnacentral:rRNA from 1 species